rnacentral:misc_RNA from 1 species
GUAUAGGUUUAAUGACUGCGACUAGCACAAUCGUUAAAAGACAUUCUGUAACUUUAUAGUGUAUAUGAAAACAUAGCCUUGAAGAAGCAGAAGGAGGGCUCGCGCCCAACCUCCCAAACCGCAUUUGACUGCGAGGGGUUUCAAUUCAAGACUACAAGAUGUGCACAAGAGAAGAUAAAUAGAUGGACGAGCACAUGCUCAGUGAAGAGCCAGCAUCAGUACCAAUCGUAUUCAAUAAUGAUCCUUCCGCAGGUUCACCUACGGAAA